rnacentral:rRNA from 1 species
AUUGAACGCUGGCGGCAGGCCUAACACAUGCAAGUCGAGCGGAUGAGGGGAGCUUGCUCCUCGAUUCAGCGGCGGACGGGUGAGUAAUGCCUAGGAAUCUGCCUAGUAGUGGGGGACAACGUUUCGAAAGGAACGCUAAUACCGCAUACGUCCUACGGGAGAAAGUGGGGGAUCUUCGGACCUCACGCUAUUAGAUGAGCCUAGGUCGGAUUAGCUAGUUGGUAGGGUAAAGGCCUACCAAGGCGACGAUCCGUAACUGGUCUGAGAGGAUGAGCAGUGAGACGGGAACUGAGACACGGUCCAGAAUCCUACGGGAGGCAGCAGUGAGGAAUAUUGGACAAUGGGCGAAAGCCUGAUCCAGCCAUGCCGCGUGUGUGAAGAAGGCCUUCGGGUCGUAAAGCACUUUAAGUUGGGAGGAAGGGCUCAUAGCGAAUACCUGUGAGUUUUGACGUUACCAACAGAAUAAGCACCGGCUAACUUCGUGCCAGCCGCCGCCGUAACAC